rnacentral:rRNA from 2 species
AUUGAACGCUGGCGGCAAGCUUAACACAUGCAAGUCGUGCGGCAGCGUAGAAAUUUUUUUAUUUCUGACGGCAAGCGGCGAACGGGUGAGUAAUAUCUGGGGAUCUACCUAAAAGAGGGGGACAACCAUUGGAAACGGUGGCUAAUACCGCAUAAUGUUGAAAAACCAAAGCAGGGGAUCUAUUAAAAGACCUUGUGCUUUUAGAUGAACCCAGACGAGAUUAGUUUGUUGGUGAGGUAAUGGCUCACCAAGACUACGAUCUCUAGCUGGUCUGAGAGGAUUACCAGCCACACUGGAACUGAGAUACGGUCCAGACUCCUACGGGAGGCAGCAGUGGGGAAUAUUGCACAAUGGGCGAAAGCCUGAUGCAGCUAUGCCGCGUGUAUGAAGAAGGCCUUCGGGUUGUAAAGUACUUUCAGUAGGGAAGAAAAAGUUAAUACUAAUAUUAUUAAGAAUUGACGUUACCUACAAAAGAGCACCGGCUAACUCCGUGCCAGCAGCCGCGGUAAUACGGAGGGUGCUAGCGUUAAUCAGAAUUACUGGGCGUAAAGAGCUCGUAGGCGGUUUUUUAAGUCAGAUGUGAAAUCCCUAAGCUUAACUUAGGAACUGCAUUUGAAACUGUUAAACUAGAGUUUCGUAGAGGAAGGUAGAAUUCUAGGUGUAGCGUGAAAUGCGUAGAUAUCUGGAGGAAUACCAGUGGCGAAAGCGGCCUUCUGGACGAAAACUGACGCUGAGGUGCGAAAGCGUGGGGAGCAAACAGGAUUAGAUACC